GAUGAACGCUGGCGGCGUGCCUAACACAUGCAAGUCGAACGAAGCGCUUGAAGUUUUCGGAUGGAGAGUGACUGAGUGGCGGACGGGUGAGUAACGCGUGGAUAACCUGCCUCAUACAGGGGGAUAACAGUUAGAAAUGACUGCUAAUACCGCAUAAGCGCACAGUACCGCAUGGCACGGUGUGAAAAACUCCGGUGGUAUGAGAUGGAUCCGCGUCUGAUUAGCUAGUUGCGGGUAACGGCCACAAGGCGACGAUCAGUAGCCGACCUGAGAGGUNACCGGCACAUUGGGACUGAGACAC
rnacentral:rRNA from 1 species